CAGCCACACACGCAGAGCCCACAGCCAGCCCGAGUGAAACCCCACCAGCUGGACCGUGGAUCGAGGCCGCGUUCAAACGUGAGCACCCUCGUUAAUAACCGCGCAUGCGCAGUGUACUCCUGGAAAACCGUAAUCGAGUGGGCCGCUGCUCACGGCGCUGCACGCACUCGCUCCCCGUGCACUCGGUCUAGCAGCUCUGAUUGCAUUCGGCGUUUUGGAUUCCACAAACGUGUUUAUUUUUCCUGUUUUCGGAAGGCUAGUUGUCCUGGCGCGCAAAUGGAGCGCUGCGUAGGACCUCAGCGCUGAGGACACGAAACGCGGAGUGAAGUGUCGAGAUUACGAGGAGUGUUUUGAUUAUCUUUACCCGAAUAUAAGGGCUCGUGAUCGGUGACUGCUGUGACGUGAAAUGAUCAUUGGAUUAUGUGCUGCGUUCUGUGCCGCCUGAGAGUGCCUUCGUGUUAGAUUCCCUGAGGUUCGCUUUUCGAAAAUGCUUUCUUCUCAUCGGAGUCGCCGCAAUUUGUAUGAUGGCGUGCUUCCGAAGUGCAUGGUCAGCUCCCUUGGGCUUGCUGACUUCGCACAACGGCGACCUCGCUCCGUACCUGACCUCGUCCAGCUUGAACGUGCCUCAUCGCCAGUACCUGCACCUUGACCACUUGGCCGAGGAGGAGUCGAAGCCGAAGCCAAGAGGAGUCCGCCCUGUGCUGCUCGGACGCCCGCUGCCCGCCGUCGACCCGCGCCUGCCCGCCCGCGCCCAUCCCUACUCGCUGCUCUAUCUCCACUUCGUGCCCGUUGAGCAGCUGCAGUGAUUUCGACGAUUUCAGGUCGACCCGAAGUCAAACAAGAUGCGACAAUUGUAUAACUUAAUAUGCGUGCAUGCUUGCUCACUCUAACACACACACAGACACGCACGUACACACACACACCUACAGACACUCAUAGAUACACACACACACACACAGACACUCACAGACACACAGACACACAGACACACACACACACACACACACACACAACACACACACACACACACACACACACACACAUACACACACACACACACUUACACGUCACAAAACUUUUCCAAUAUAGGCUGCCCUGAACCAAAUCGUUCAUCACGUUGCUCUCACUCAGUUCACAAUGCCUGACUACAGUUUAAUUCGUACAAAUGCAUUAAACAAGCAGUUCCAGCGGCUUCCCUGGAACGCCAACUUACUCUUCUUUUUAGCUACAGAUGCGCUACACUCUCUUUCCCUUCUGCGUUUGUUUUUACUGCAGUAACUAAUAGUGAAGGAAUUAGGAAAUUAACCAACAUGUAACGAUACAAAAAUAUAAUGAGAAAAAAAUGUAACAAUCUUGAAUAAAAACUAAACUUAC